GAUGAACGCUGGCGGCGUGCCUAAUACAUGCAAGUCGAGCGAGCAGAUGAGGAGCUUGCUCCUCUGACGUUAGCGGCGGACGGGUGAGUAACACGUGGAUAACCUACCUAUAAGACUGGGAUAACUUCGGGAAACCGGAGCUAAUACCGGAUAAUAUAUUGAACCGCAUGGUUCAAUAGUGAAAGACGGUUUUGCUGUCACUUAUAGAUGGAUCCGCGCCGCAUUAGCUAGUUGGUAAGGUAACGGCUUACCAAGGCAACGAUGCGUAGCCGACCUGAGAGGGUGAUCGGCCACACUGGAACUGAGACACGGUCCAGACUCCUACGGGAGGCAGCAGUAGGGAAUCUGCCGCAAUGGGCGAAAGCCUGACGGAGCAACGCCGCGUGAGUGAUGAAGGUCUUCGGAUCGUAAAACUCUGUUAUUAGGGAAGAACAAAUGUGUAAGUAACUAUGCACGUCUUGACGGUACCUAAUCAGAAAGCCACGGCUAACUACGUG
rnacentral:rRNA from 1 species